UUCGGGCCUUGCGCUAUCAGAUGAGCCUAGGUCGGAUUAGCUAGUUGGUGGGGUAAUGGCUCACCAAGGCGACGAUCCGUAACUGGUCUGAGAGGAUGAUCAGUCACACUGGAACUGAGACACGGUCCAGACUCCUACGGGAGGCAGCAGUGGGGAAUAUUGGACAAUGGGCGAAAGCCUGAUCCAGCCAUGCCGCGUGUGUGAAGAAGGUCUUCGGAUUGUAAAGCACUUUAAGUUGGGAGGAAGGGUUGUAGAUUAAUACUCUGCAAUUUUGACGUUACCGACAGAAUAAGCACCGGCUAACUCUGUGCCAGCAGCCGCGGUAAUACAGAGGGUGCAAGCGUUAAUCGGAAUUACUGGGCGUAAAGCGCGCGUAGGUGGUUAGUUAAGGUGGGAUGUUGAAAUCCCCGGGCUCAACCUGGGAACUGCAUUCAAAACUGACUGA
rnacentral:rRNA from 1 species